rnacentral:rRNA from 1 species
GUGAACGCUGGCGGUAGGCCUAACACAUGCAAGCCGAACGGCAGCACAGUAAGAGCUUGCUCUUACGGGUGGCGAGUGGCGGACGGGUGAGGAAUACAUCGGAAUCUACUUUUUCGUGGGGGAUAACGUAGGGAAACUUACGCUAAUACCGCAUACGACCUACGGGUGAAAGCAGGGGAUCUUCGGACCUUGCGCGAUUGAAUGAGCCGAUGUCGGAUUAGCUAGUUGGCGGGGUAAAGGCCCACCAAGGCGACGAUCCGUAGCUGGUCUGAGAGGAUGAUCAGCCACACUGGAACUGAGACACGGUCCAGACUCCUACGGGAGGCAGCAGUGGGGAAUAUUGGACAAUGGGCGCAAGCCUGAUCCAGCCAUACCGCGUGGGUGAAGAAGGCCUUCGGGUUGUAAAGCCCUUUUGUUGGGAAAGAAAAGCAGCAGGUUAAUACCCCGCUGUUCUGACGGUACCCAAAGAAUAAGCACCGGCUAACUUCGUG